rnacentral:rRNA from 1 species
UACGGGGGGGGCAAGCGUUGUCCGGAAUUACUGGGCGUAAAGGGCUCGUAGGUGGCCAACUAAGUCAGACGUGAAAUCCCUCGGCUUAACCGGGGAACUGCGUCUGAUACUGGAUGGCUUGAGUUUGGGAGAGGGACGCGGAAUUCCUGGUGUAGCGGUGGAAUGCGCAGAUAUCAGGAGGAACACCGGUGGCGAAGGCGGGUCUCUGGGCCGAUACUGACGCUGAGAAGCGAAAGCGUGGGGAGCGAACAGG